AGCGCAGGCGGUCUUUUAAGUCUGAUGUGAAAGCCCUCGGCUUAACCGGAGAAGUGCAUCGGAAACUGGGAGACUUGAGUGCAGGAGAGGACAGUGGAACUCCAUGUGUAGCGGUGAAAUGCGUAGAUAUAUGGAAGAACACCAGUGGCGAAGGCGGCUGUCUGGUCUGUAACUGACGCUGAGGCUCGAAAGCAUGGGUAGCGAACA
rnacentral:rRNA from 1 species